GCAUCCGUAGCUCAGUUGGAUAGAGUGCUGGAUUCCGAUUCCAGAGGUCGCAGGUUCGAAUCCUGCCGGUUGCGCCA
rnacentral:tRNA from 1 species